AACAAAAUGCUCCAGGCUACCUCCUCAAUGCUGUCUGCUGAUGGAACAGUCACACCAAGGACAUGGAUGAUAUCCCUCAUUCGAAUCAGUGAAGCUACUCUUACCAAUCUUGCUUUGAUGCUUCAGGGCUCAUAUUCUAAUUUUCAUCUGAGAGUACAGAGGCUGUUUCCAAAGCAAGGUGCCCUUCAGUUAAAAUACAGAAGCAUGAUGAAUAUAUUAAACAGCGAAACGAGUAAGACAGCAACUGUAACUUGUGCAGCUACUGCUACAUCACACAGACUUGUACAGAAAGAGUUGAAUCUACACAAUUAUUUGCAAUGAAUUUGCUCCAGAAAACCAAUCAGCAUCUUGAGUGAAAGAGAACCCGGGGGAAAAAUUGCUCAUCUCAGAUAAAAUAAUGAAGUGCAAAUACACCAGUAGGUUCAGACAUGUAAACAGAUAAAAGACAAAUAGAAGAAGCAAUGAUCAAUCCAAGUAGAUGUGUGUUUUUAAUGAAGAAUUACAAAAAGGUAAGUGAUUCUAGACAACACACAAAAGGCAAAGGUUUAGAUCAAACUAUAUGAAUAAAUGGUGACUUGAAAGAUUUCAAAGCAAAGCAUGGGGAUGUCCCAGGAGGGCUUAUGUGUUUUACCUGUCUAUUCAUACAAUUGCCUGUAGAUCAAAUCAAAUAUUUCACUUGUUGAUUCCAUGCAGUGACGGAGCACAGACAGACAGUUUUUGAUGUGUCAGCAUGUCAGUGGUGAGACAACAGGCACAUGAUGUUGCACUCAUGAAGAGCCUUACUUCAUGUGCUUCAUGCUUUGCUGCUUUGGCAGUAUUGGAAUAGCAGGAAGUAGCUAUGCAACCUGGCUAAUACAAUUACCAGCUUUGAAGAAACCCAGUCUGUGAACAAGAUGAGUGCAAAAUCAAAGAUCCAAAUCACAAUGAUGCCUCAAUUGUGUGUAACAAUUUCCCUUCCCAAAGCACCUAAUAAAGAAAGAGCAUGGACUCUGUCAUGCACCAUUUAAAGGAACGUGACUGCUUAACAGCACAUAGCAACUCUGCCCAGGAGCUUUGGAUCAGAAAAGACGAUGGCUAGCCUACCCAGUUGGACAGUCGAAAAGGCAGUAAUCUUUCAAUAUGCAAUGUGAAGAAGAUUUCCAUUCUUACACUGUCACAAAAAGUGCAGUUUUGUGCUUUGUGAACACCAGUUGCUGUGGCUUGAAUUUUACAUCUUUGCUGAUGGUAAUCCCAGAAAGCCAAACCUGUUAACUCUAUAAUGGAGAGGAUGCUUAAUUUUAUUUUAGAGGAAAAAAAAGAGCAACGCUUACUGAAUUAGCUAUAUCAUUUCUUCUAGCAAUUUAGAAGCCUUAUGGACACUGACUUUCUAGUUAUGAGAUGUGACAUGAUAACUUCAAGUCAGGUGCUGCUUAUAAUCAGAUGGAAUUUUAUCAUUAAUCUAAAACAUUCAGCUAUAUUUAUUGCUUCUCGUAAUAAAACUAAAAAUUUCAUACAUAUUCCACCUAUAUGUGUUCAUGAACUGCCUGAGCACACAAAACCAGGAAUCUUUCAUUUUCAUCAAAUGCUGUUAUGUACGUUGUGACAUUUUAACUCCGCAAUUGAGCUCUUUUAGUUUCCUAGAAAGAAAAUCCAUCAUAAGCUAUGUGUCAUCAUUUCAACACUUUACUUCCUGUCCUUUAACAUAACGCUUACUCUUGUAAGUCAAAAGUCAUGUUUGGCCUCAUGCAAUCUCUAAACUCAGAAGCUCUCUGGAGAAUUAAAACACUUAGGAGGGAAGAUGUGAAAUUUGGGUUGAACCUUUCUCUUAAAGAAGCUGGAAGAAACCUAAAGGCACAAGAAGCCAGACUGUUGUGAGAAAAAUGAAAACAUGACUUUGUGUUAUUGCAAUAUUUUAAUAUUUUCCUGGAUUUUUUCCUGUACAAUCAAAAAGCAUAUUAACUCACAUGUCUAAAUGAAAAUCUUUCUAGCUUGGCCUCAUUUCCUCCCACACUGUUUAUUUCUGCAAUCUUGCUUGUGCACACAUCCCUUCAUUCUUUUCACUGUUACUUUUCCUUUAAGGAGCCUUGUUUCAAAAGAAUCUGCAGUGUGCUCAUUCAACCAUUGCCUUCAUAAUGUCUGAUUAAGUGUUAUUACAUCACUCUAAAACUAACAUUAAAUCCCAAACUAAAUCUUUGGUGGUUUGGGGUUUUUGUGUGUAUAUGUUUUCUUUCAGCAGCUAAUGACAAGCCUUGGAUUAUCUGAAACAUGCCUCCCUUUC